ACUCCUACGGGAGGCAGCAGUGGGGAAUUUUGGACAAUGGGCGCAAGCCUGAUCCAGCCAUGCCGCGUGCGGGAAGAAGGCCUUCGGGUUGUAAACCGCUUUUGUCAGGGAAGAAAAGGUUCUGGUUAAUACCUGGGACUCAUGACGGUACCUGAAGAAUAAGCACCGGCUAACUACGUGCCAGCAGCCGCGGUAAUACGUAGGGUGCAAGCGUUAAUCGGAAUUACUGGGCGUAAAGCGUGCGCAGGCGGUUAUGCAAGACAGAGGUGAAAUCCCCGGGCUCAACCUGGGAACUGCCUUUGUGACUGCAUAGCUAGAGUACGGUAGAGGGGGAUGGAAUUCCGCGUGUAGCAGUGAAAUGCGUAGAUAUGCGGAGGAACACCGAUGGCGAAGGCAAUCCCCUGGACCUGUACUGACGCUCAUGCACGAAAGCGUGGGGAGCAAACAGGAUUAGAUACCCUGGUAGUCCACGCCCUAAACGAUGUCAACUGGUUGUUGGGAGGGUUUCUUCUCAGUAACGUAGCUAACGCGUGAAGUUGACCGCCUGGGGAGUACGGCCGCAAGGUUGAAACUUAAAGGAAUUGACGG
rnacentral:rRNA from 1 species